CUUGCUGCUUUGCUGACGAGUGGCGGACGGGUGAGUAAUGUCUGGGAAACUGCCCGAUGGAGGGGGAUAACUACUGGAAACGGUAGCUAAUACCGCAUAAUGUCGCAAGACCAAAGAGGGGGACCUUCGGGCCUCUUGCCAUCGGAUGUGCCCAGAUGGGAUUAGCUAGUUGGUGAGGUAACGGCUCACCAAGGCGACGAUCCCUAGCUGGUCUGAGAGGAUGACCAGCCACACUGGAACUGAGACACGGUCCAGACUCCUACGGGAGGCAGCAGUGGGGAAUAUUGCACAAUGGGCGCAAGCCUGAUGCAGCCAUGCCGCGUGUAUGAAGAAGGCCUUCGGGUUGUAAAGUACUUUCAGCGGGGAGGAAGGGGUUAAGGUUAAUAACCUUAGCCAUUGACGUUACCCGCAGAAGAAGCACCGGCUAACUCCGUGCCAGCAGCCGCGGUAAUACGGAGGGUGCAAGCGUUAAUCGGAAUUACUGGGCGUAAAGCGCACGCAGGCGGUCUGUCAAGUCGGAUGUGAAAUCCCCGGGCUCAACCUGGGAACUGCAUUCGAAACUGGCAGGCUUGAGUCUCGUAGAGGGGGGUAGAAUUCCAGGUGUAGCGGUGAAAUGCGUAGAGAUCUGGAGGAAUACCGGUGGCGAAGGCGGCCCCCUGGACGAAGACUGACGCUCAGGUGCGAAAGCGUGGGGAGCAAACAGGAUUAGAUACCCUGGUAGUCCACGCCGUAAACGAUGUCUAUUUGGAGGUUGUGCCCUUGAGGCGUGGCUUCCGGAGCUAACGCGUUAAAUAGACCGCCUGGGGAGUACGGCCGCAAGGUUAAAACUCAAAUGAAUUGACGGGGGCCCGCACAAGCGGUGGAGCAUGUGGUUUAAUUCGAUGCAACGCGAAGAACCUUACCUGGUCUUGACAUCCACAGAACUUGGCAGAGAUGCCUUGGUGCCUUCGGGAACUGUGAGACAGGUGCUGCAUGGCUGUCGUCAGCUCGUGUUGUGAAAUGUUGGGUUAAGUCCCGCAACGAGCGCAACCCUUAUCCUUUGUUGCCAGCGGUCCGGCCGGGAACUCAAAGGAAACUGCCAGUGAUAAACUGGAGAAAGGUGGGGAUGACGUCAAGUCAUCAUGGGCCUUUGGAC
rnacentral:rRNA from 1 species